ACCAUCUGAGUACUCUCAAUACCACCAACACCCCUUGUUCAGUAUUCUAUAAAUACUGUGUCUUUUAUAUUUAUAAUCUCAAUAUAUGUACCUAAUAAUAUCUUGUUUAAAUUUGGGUGAUUGGCUAAGGUGACUUAUUGUCUUUUGGUAUAUGUAGUUUGUGAGCACUUCAAGAGCUUGCUUAAAAGUAACAGUGGUAGUGUUAGUAUGUUGGCAGUGGGUGGCAUUGGAGGAAUGUAUCAGAAAUCAGUGCUUUAUUAAUUCUAGCAUGCAGUCCAUUUUAAGAAGCAUCAGCCUUUGAGAGUCGAGAAGAAAUAAUGCAUUAAAUGUACACAGUUCUAAAUUGUGAAGAAUCCUAAUUUACGGCAUUUUAUUAUCCUCCUCAUUAUCAGCUGAGAAUCACAAUUGGUUUUAAGUCUUUUUUUUCCAGUGUGGGUAGAAUGAUUCUGAGUGUCUUUUGGCAAAUAUCACUUAAAUAUCACAAUAACUUGCAAAUUUUAUAACUAUUAGCAUCUUUUCUAAAUAUAAGAUUAGAUUGUACAUGAUUUUCUAAUUUACUUUUUCCUUUCU
rnacentral:lncRNA from 1 species